ACUAGAAAGUAUCAAAACCAUGAAGUUGAUAAUCAUCUUUGGGGCGAUUGCGAUGUUGAUGGCAACUGUAGUUAGCGGGGAACCAAUAGACCCCAAGGUAUUGGAAUCAUUAAUAGGACCAGGAAAAUAAAUCUGGCCAUUGGAUCGCGAAUAAAUGCA